rnacentral:rRNA from 1 species
GACGAACGCUGGCGGCGUGCUUAACACAUGCAAGUCGAACGGAAAGGCCCUGCUUUUGUGGGGUGCUCGAGUGGCGAACGGGUGAGUAACACGUGAGUAACCUGCCCUUGACUUUGGGAUAACUUCAGGAAACUGGGGCUAAUACCGGAUAGGAGCUCCUGCUGCAUGGUGGGGGUUGGAAAGUUUCGGCGGUUGGGGAUGGACUCGCGGCUUAUCAGCUUGUUGGUGGGGUAGUGGCUUACCAAGGCUUUGACGGGUAGCCGGCCUGAGAGGGUGACCGGCCACAUUGGGACUGAGAUACGGCCCAGACUCCUACGGGAGGCAGCAGUGGGGAAUAUUGCACAAUGGGCGGAAGCCUGAUGCAGCAGCGCCGCGUGCGGGAUGACGGCCUUCGGGUUGGAAACCGCUUUCGCCUGUGACGAAGCGUGAGUGACGGUAAUGGGUAAAGAAGCACCGGCUAACUACGUG